CACGUAGGGGGCGAGCGUUGUCCGGAUUUAUUGGGCGUAAAGAGCUCGUCGGCGGCUUAGUAAGUCAGGUGUGAAACCUCCAGGCUCAACCUGGAGACGCCACCUGAUACUGCUGUGGCUAGAGUCCGGUAGGGGAGCAGGGAACUCCUGGUGUAGCGGUGAAAUGCGCAGAUAUCAGGAAGAACACCAGCGGCGAAGGCGCUGCUCUGGGCCGGAACUUACGCUGAGGAGCGAAAGCGUGGGGAGCAAACAGG
rnacentral:rRNA from 1 species